UGCGUAGGUGGCAAGCGUUGUCCGGAUUUACUGGGCGUAAAGGAUGCGUAGGUGGAUAUUUAAGUGGGAUGUGAAAUACCCGGGCUUAACCUGGGUGCUGCAUUCCAAACUGGAUAUCUAGAGUGCAGGAGAGGUAAGUGGAAUUCCUAGUGUAGCGGUGAAAUGCGUAGAGAUUAGGAAGAACACCAGUGGCGAAGGCGACUUACUGGACUGUAACUGACACUGAGGCAUGAAAGCGUGGGGAGCAAACAGG
rnacentral:rRNA from 1 species